AUUGAACGCUGGCGGCAGGCCUAACACAUGCAAGUCGAGCGGAUGAAGGGAGCUUUCUCCUGGCUUCAGCGGCCGACGGGUGAGUAAUGCCUAGGAAUCUGCCUGGUCGUGGGGGCUAACGUCCGGUCACGGGCGCUAAUCCCGCAUCCGUCCUGAGGGUGAACGUGGGGGAUCUUCGGACCUCACGCUAUCAGCUGAGCCUAGGUCGGAUUAGCUAGUUGGUGGGGUAAAGGCCUACCAAGGCGACGAUCCGUAACUGGUCUGAGAGGAUGAUCAGUCACACUGGAACUGAGACACGGUCCAGACUCCUACGGGAGGCAGCAGUGGGAAUUUUGGACAAUGGGCGAAAGCCUGAUCCAGCCAUGCCGCGUGUGUGAAGAAGGUCUUCGGAUUGUAAAGCACUUGAAGCUGGGAGGAAGGGCAGUAAGAUAAUACCGUGCUGUUUUGACGGGACCAACAGAAUAAGCACCGGCUAACUUCGUG
rnacentral:rRNA from 1 species